CCUACGGGUGGCAGCAGUGAGGAAUAUUGGUCAAUGGACGAGAGUCUGAACCAGCCAAGUAGCGUGAAGGAUGACUGCCCUAUGGGUUGUAAACUUCUUUUAUAUGGGAAUAAAAUGUUCCACGUGUGUGAUUUUGUAUGUACCAUACGAAUAAGGAUCGGCUAACUCCGGGCCAGCAGCCGCGGUAAUACGGAGGAUCCGAGCGUUAUCCGGAUUUAUUGGGUUUAAAGGGAGCGUAGGUGGAUUGUUAAGUCAGUUGUGAAAGUUUGCGGCUCAACCGUAAAAUUGCAGUUGAUACUGGCAGUCUUGAGUACAGUAGAGGUGGGCGGAAUUCGUGGUGUAGCGGUGAAAUGCUUAGAUAUCACGAAGAACUCCGAUUGCGAAGGCAGUUCACUGGACUGCAACUGACACUGAGGCUCGAAAGUGUGGGUAUCAAACAGGAUUAGAUACCCGUGUAGUC
rnacentral:rRNA from 1 species